GUCUUUGUGUCUCACUUGUGUUUUUGAGUUAGGUGAGGCAACUCUCGUUUCCCAUUUCUACUACUACACCUCGAUUUCUCAGUCCGCUCUCUCUACCCUUCCUCUCCUCCUUCCAUUUUCCGGGAAAAUCGUUUUUCUUUUUUUCCCGAGAAAAUUAUAAAACCACGUCUUUUCCAUUUUCUCACUAAUCAAACAUGUUUUCGGUUCGCUCAAUCCUCGCUCUCCAGCUAAGACGCUCAAUCCUCCUACUACAUUCUUCUUCUUCGUCUUCGGCUUCGUAUUCUACUUCUUCCGCUGCUGCGGUGCAAGCCGAGCGAGCGAUAAGCGAAGGUCCGAGAAACGAUUGGACACGAGACGAGAUCAAAUCCGUCUACGACUCUCCGGUUCUCGAUCUCCUUUUCCACUUAGCUCAGGUUCAUAGACAUGCACAUAACUUUAGGGAAGUGCAGCAAUGUACUUUGCUCUCUAUCAAGACGGGUGGGUGUAGUGAGGAUUGUUCGUAUUGUCCUCAAUCCUCUGCAUAUGACACAGGACUAAAGUCCCAAACAGGACGGAGCUAGAACUUUAAGUUAGGGGUACAUUUUUACUGUUGACUGUGUGCAGUGAAUUUAACCUCUAAUUUUGCUACUUAGUUGUUGAGAUUUUUUUUUUUUUUUUUUGUAGGUAAGAACAAAAAUAUUUUUGUUUAGAUUUUUUUUAAAGGGCCAGAUUAUUUAUUUUGGAUAAAAUUAGUUAAUUGAGCUUAAUUUUGUUUUUAGUUUUA